GAGAAAAUUAGUCAACAGUCAACAGAAUGACUGGGAUGUGUAUCUGGAUGCUACACUGUUUUCUUUGAGGUCCAAGGUCCACACCACAACCAAAUACACACCAUUCCGUUUAAUGUAUGGGAGAGAGGCUACGUAUCCUUCUGAAGUUCCUGUCGAAGUCCCAUAAAGAGGCUAUGGGCUGCAAAGGAUACUGGGCGCUUGGAAUCAGUUGUUGGACCAUACAAGUUAUUUGAUUCCUCUUUUCGAACACUGCAGGGGUCACGGUGGCUUUCUGAUGAGGUCAUUGAUGCAUACCUGCACCGUGUUAUUGAG
ensembl:lncRNA